rnacentral:rRNA from 1 species
AGCUCCAAAAGCGUAUAUUAAAGUUGUUGCAGUUAAAAAGCUCGUAGUUGAAGUUCUGGUUGUAUUGGGCCUCUGCACUUGAUGCGAAGGAACCAGCAGUCAUCCGCUUGCAAGUACAUGUCCUUCCUUAACCGGUAGGCUGUAUGAGUAAGUACUUUACCUUGAGAAAAACAGAGUGUUCCAGGCAGGUUUGUCCGGAAUGCGUUAGCAUGGAAUAAUAGAAUAUGACUGAAGUCGAUUUAUUGGUUAAAGGCUUUAGUAAUGAUUAAUAGGAACAAUCGGGGGCAUUGGUACUUGUCAGUCAGAGGUGAAAUUCUAGGAUUUGACAAAGACUAACUGAUGCGAAAGCGUUUGCCAAGAAUGUUUUCA